GGAUUAAGCUUGCUCUUAUGACGUUAGCGGCGGACGGGAGAGUAACACGUGGGUAACCUGCCCAUAAGACUGGGAUAACUCCGGGAAACCGGGGCUAAUACCGGAUAACAUUUUGAACCGCAUGGUUCGAAAUUGAAAGGCGGCUUCGGCUGUCACUUAUGGAUGGACCCGCGUCGCAUUAGCUAGUUGGUGAGGUAACGGGUCACCAAGGCAACGAUGCGUAGCCGACCUGAGAGGGUGAUCGGCCACACUGGGACUGAGACACGGCCCAGACUCCUACGGGAGGCAGCAGUAGGGAAUCUUCCGCAAUGGACGAAAGUCUGACGGAGCACGCCGCGUGAGUGAUG
rnacentral:rRNA from 1 species